rnacentral:rRNA from 1 species
UACGUAGGAAGCGAGCGUUAUCCGGAUUUACUGGGCGUAAAGAGCGCGUAGGUGGUUCCAUAAGUUGGACGUGAAAGCCCCCGGCUUAACUGGGGAGGGUCGUUCAAUACUGCGGAACUUGAGGGUGGAAGAGGAAACUGGAAUUCCCGGUGUAGUGGUGAAAUGCGUAGAUAUCGGGAGGAACACCUGUGGCGAAGGCGAGUUUCUAGGCCACUUCUGACACUGAGGCGCGAAAGCGUGGGGAGCGAACGGAAUUAGAUACUCCGGUAGUCCACGCCCUAAACGAUGGACACUAGGUGUGGUGGGUAUCGACCCCUGCCGUGCCGUAGUCAACACAAUAAGUGUCCCGCCUGGGGACUACGAGCGCAAGCUUA